GGGGAUUUAGCUCAACAGCAUAAGCGCCUGCCUUGUAAGCAGGUGGUCGUGAGUUCGAUUCCAGAUACCG
rnacentral:tRNA from 1 species